AUUGCUUUGUGGCCUUUUGGUUAAUAUCAAGUGUAGUAUCUGUUCUCAUCAGUUUAAUACCUGACACAUCCUUUAUCUGAGGACAAUUUAGUAAACAGAUUUUUGGAGCAGGGAGAUGGAAUAGGAGCUUGCUCCUUCCGUUCCAUCCAUCCACCUGGUAUCGCAGUACCUCCAGGAAGGAGGCUGCUCCC